rnacentral:rRNA from 1 species
GAUGAACGCUAGCUCCAGGCUUAACACAUGCAAGUCGAGGGGAAACGACAUCGAAAGCUUGCUUUUGAUGGGCGUCGACCGGCGCACGGGUGAGUAACGCGUAUCCAACCUGCCCAUCACUUGGGAAUAACCUUGCGAAAGUAAGACUAAUACCCAAUGACAUCCCACGAAGACAUCUGAAUGGGAUUAAAGAUUUAUUGGUGAUGGAUGGGGAUGCGUCUGAUUAGCUUGUUGGCGGGGUAACGGCCCACCAAGGCAACGAUCAGUAGGGGUUCUGAGAGGAAGGUCCCCCACAUUGGAACUGAGACACGGUCCAAACUCCUACGGGAGGCAGCAGUGAGGAAUAUUGGUCAAUGGGCGAGAGCCUGAACCAGCCAAGUAGCGUGCAGGAUGACGGCCCUAUGGGUUGUAAACUGCUUUUAUAAGGGAAUAAAGUGGGUCUCGUGAGACUUUUUGCAUGUACCUUAUGAAUAAGGACCGGCUAAUUCCGUG